rnacentral:lncRNA from 1 species
CUGCGAAGAGCGCGCUCCGCGGCGGCUGGGGGAUAACCCCCGUUUGCCAGCAUGAUCAAGGGUUGUCAGAAUGAGUGUGUGGCUGGAGGAUGUGCAGGGGAAGCCACAAAGCAUGUGACUGAAUCUUUCAAGGUAAGUUGUUUGCUAAAAAGUGAGUGUCUGGAGCAUUUCAUUGGACAGUGCCAGACAUCAUCCGUAGUGUGGUAGUGAUUGUUGUGCAAGAGUUCAUAGCUGCUGAUGCGCUUGAACAUCACAAUUCUGUAAGCAGGAGUUGCAUUUUCUGAAAAUAUUUUCAAUAUGUAUUAACCCUUGUAGAAAUUAAAAAUGUUUCAAGAAGAACUUUUAAUUUAUUAUUGUUUCCGGUACUAGCUAAAAGCUUAGUAGUCAUUAAGCAAAAAUUAACAUGGUAUACCUGAAUGUUUCUUAACUCUUACCUGAUUUAAAAACAAUAUAACUCUAGAUUGAUUACCCAAUAAGUUCUCCAGACAAAC